rnacentral:snRNA from 1 species
GUGUUUGAUUCUGCAGCACAUAUACUAAAAUUAGAAUGAUACAAAUACUAGCCUGGCCCCUGCACAAAUAUAACACAUGAUUUGUGAAGCAUUCAGUAUGCUU